GACGAACGCUGGCGGCGUGCUUAACACAUGCAAGUCGAACGGAAAGGCCCUGCUUUUGUGGGGUGCUCGAGUGGCGAACGGGUGAGUAACACGUGAGUAACCUGCCCUUGACUUUGGGAUAACUUCAGGAAACUGGGGCUAAUACCGGAUAGGAGCUCCUGCUGCAUGGUGGGGGUUGGAAAGUUUCGGCGGUUGGGGAUGGACUCGCGGCUUAUCAGCUUGUUGGUGGGGUAGUGGCUUACCAAGGCUUUGACGGGUAGCCGGCCUGAGAGGGUGACCGGCCACAUUGGGACUGAGAUACGGCCCAGUCUCCUACGGGAGGCAGCAGUGGAGAAUAUUGCACAAUGGGCGGAAGCCUGAUGCGGCAACGCCGCGUGCGGGAUGACGGCCUUCGAGUUGUAAACCGCUUUCGCCUGUGACGAAGCGUGAGUGACGGUAAUGGGUAAAGAAGCACCGGCUAACUACGUG
rnacentral:rRNA from 1 species